UAAUAUAUAUAUAUAUAUAUAUAUAUAUAUAUAUAGAGAGAGAGAGAGAGAGAGAGAGAGAGAGAGAGAGAGAGAGAGAGAGUUGAGCUAGAAUACUAUUGAUAGCAAACGGGCUCCGUUGCCACCCAUUUGUUUUUGAUGAUGGAGCCUCCAAAUCGAUGAUCGGCAUCGUUGAACAUGAUCUAUACCACUUGAAGUGUUUAGAAAUCAAAUUUCAUACAUUUUCGAUAUUGAUAUCUUAUCCAUCGAGUGGACACAAUAAUGAAUGACUGAAAAUGAAUAUUCUUUAAAAAAAUGAUGAUAGAAGUCUUGUAAUCAAGAUCAAAAGUAUAGAUCUGAUUUUAAAUAGUUUAAAGAAUUUUCUAACAAAAAUUCAAUUGAUUUGGAUAUCUUUACGCCAUUAAACGAGAAAACACCUCAUAUCGACCAUUAAAAUUAUAAAUUUUAAAACCCUUUGAUCAUUACGUAAAUGAUAUCGAAAAGAUUUGAAAUUUGAUUUCUAAAUACUUCAAGUGGUAUAGAUCAUGUUCGACGGUGCUGAUCAUCGAUUUGGUGGCUAUAUCAUCGAAAACAAAUGGGUGGCAACGGAGCCUGUUUGCUAUCGAUAGUAUUCUAGCUCAACUCUAUAUA
rnacentral:lncRNA from 1 species